rnacentral:rRNA from 1 species
UACGGGAGGCAGCGGUGGGGAAUAUUGCACAAUGGGCGAAAGCCUGAUGCAGCUAUGCCGCGUGUAUGAAGAAGGCCUUAGGGUUGUAAAGUACUUUCAUCGGGGAGGAAAAAACAAAACUAAUAAUUUUAUUUCUUGACGUUACCCGAAAAAGAAGCACCGGCUAACUCCGUGCCAGCAGCCGCGGUAAUACGGAGGGUGCUAGCGUUAAUCAGAAUUACUGGGCGUAAAGAGCACGUAGGUGGUUUUUUUAAGUCAGAUGUGAAAUCCCUGGGCUUAACCUGGAACUGCAUUUUGAAACUGAAAUACUAGAGUAUCGUAGAGGGAGGUAGAAUUCUAGGUGUAGCGGUGAAAUGCGUAGAUAUCUGGAGGAAUACCUGUGGCGAAAGCGGCCUCCUAAACGAAUACUGACACUGAGGGUGCGAAAGCGUGGGGAGCAAACAGGGAUUAGAUACC